UACGUAGGGUGCAAGCGUUGUCCGGAAUUAUUUGGGCGUAAAGAGCUCGUAGGCGGUCUGUCGCGUCUGCUUGUGAAAACUUCAGGGCUUAACCCUGAGCUUGCAGUGGGUACGGGCAAGACUAGAGUGCGGUAGGGGAGACUGGAAUUCCUGGUGUAGCGGUGAAAUGCGCAGAUAGUCAGGAGGAACACCGGUGGCGAAGGCGGAUCUCUGGGCCUUACCUGACGCUCGAGGUGACGAAAGCUAGGGGAGCGAACAGG
rnacentral:rRNA from 1 species